rnacentral:rRNA from 1 species
GAUGAACGCUGACAGCAUGCUUAACACAUGCAAGUCAACUUGAAUUUGGGUUUUUAUCUUAGGUUUGGGUGGCGGACGGGUGAGUAACGCGUAAAGAACUUGCCUCCCAGCUAGGGACAACAUUUGGAAACGAAUGCUAAUACCUAAUAUUAUGAUAAUAGGGCAUCCUAUAAUUAUGAAAGCUAUAAGCGCUGUGAGAGAGCUUUGCGUCCCAUUAGCUAGUUGGAGAGGUAACGGCUCACCAAGGCGAUGAUGGGUAGCCGGCCUGAGAGGGUGAUCGGCCACAAGGGGACUGAGACACGGCCCGUACUCCUACGGGAGGCAGCAGUGGGGAAUAUUGGACAAUGGACCGAGAGUCUGAUCCAGCAAUUCUGUGUGCACGAUGAAGUUUUUCGGAAUGUAAAGUGCUUUCAGUUGGGAAGAAACAAAUGACGGUACCAACAGAAGAAGUGACGGCUAAAUACGUG